rnacentral:tRNA from 1 species
GGGGUUGUGGCUCAGUGGUAGAGUGUUCGCUUAGCACGUGCGAGGCCCUGGGCUCAAUCCCCAGCACCACA